CCUACGGGAGGCUGCAGUGGGGAAUGUUGCGCAAUGAUCGUAAGAGUGACGCAGCGACGCCGCGUGAAUGACGAAGGCCUUCGGGUCGUAAAGUUCUUUCGACAGGGAAGAAAAUGCCUAUAAGUAACUGUGUAUGUCAUGACGGUACCUGUAUAAGCAGCCCCGGCUAACUCCGUGCCAGAAGCUGCGGUAAUACGGAGGGGGCGAGCGUUGUUCGGGGUGACUGGGCGUAAAGGGCACGUAGGCGGUGUUGUAAGUCAUUAGUCAAAGACUAGCGCUCAACUUUAGUAAGGCUAGUGGUAUUAUAAUACUAGAGUAUCAGAGAGGAUUGCAGAAUUCCUGGUGUAGCGGUGAAAUGCGUAGAUAUCAGGAGGAAUACCGUUAGCGAAGGCGGCAAUCUGGCUGGAAACUGACGCUGAGGUGCGAAAGCGUGGGUAGCAAACAGGAUUAGAUACCCGGGUAGUC
rnacentral:rRNA from 1 species